rnacentral:rRNA from 1 species
UACAGAGGUCCCAAGCGUUGUUCGGAUUCAUUGGGCGUAAAGGGUGCGUAGGUGGCGUCGUAAGUCGGGUGUGAAAUCUCGGGGCUUAACUCCGAAACUGCAUUCGAUACUGCGGUGCUUGAGGACUGGAGAGGAGACUGGAAUUCCUGGUGUAGCGGUGAAAUGCGCAGAUAUCAGGAGGAACACCGGUGGCGAAGGCGAGUCUCUGGACCGAUACUGACGCUGAGGAGCGAAAUCGUGGGGAGCAAACAGG